UGCAAGUCGAACGAGCGAGAGAGAGCUUGCUUUCUCGAGCGAGUGGCGAACGGGUGAGUAACGCGUGAGGAACCUGCCUCAAAGAGGGGGACAACAGUUGGAAACGACUGCUAAUACCGCAUAAGCCCACGGCUCGGCAUCGAGCAGAGGGAAAAGGAGCAAUCCGCUUUGAGAUGGCCUCGCGUCCGAUUAGCUAGUUGGUGAGGUAACGGCCCACCAAGGCGACGAUCGGUAGCCGGACUGAGAGGUUGAACGGCCACAUUGGGACUGAGACACGGCCCAGACUCCUACGGGAGGCAGCAGUGGGGAAUAUUGCACAAUGGGGGAAACCCUGAUGCAGCGACGCCGCGUGGAGGAAGAAGGUCUUCGGAUUGUAAACUCCUGUUGUUGGGGAAGAUAAUGACGGUACCCAACAAGGAAGUGACGGCUAACUACGUGCCAGCAGCCGCGGUAAAACGUAGGUCACAAGCGUUGUCCGGAAUUACUGGGUGUAAAGGGAGCGCAGGCGGGAAGACAAGUUGGAAGUGAAAUCUAUGGGCUCAACCCAUAAACUGCUUUCAAAACUGUUUUUCUUGAGUAGUGCAGAGGUAGGCGGAAUUCCCGGUGUAGCGGUGGAAUGCGUAGAUAUCGGGAGGAACACCAGUGGCGAAGGCGGCCUACUGGGCACCAACUGACGCUGAGGCUCGAAAGUGUGGGUAGCAAACAGGAUUAGAUACCCUGGUAGUCCACACCGUAAACGAUGAUUACUAGGUGUUGGAGGAUUGACCCCUUCAGUGCCGCAGUUAACACAAUAAGUAAUCCACCUGGGGAGUACGACCGCAAGGUUGAAACUCAAAGGAAUUGACGG
rnacentral:rRNA from 1 species